ensembl:lncRNA
GUCGAUUGAAUUUGUAUUUGUUCUCCUGGCAACUGGACCUUUUUUGGAACACCAUUGUUUUUGUCUUACUGAUCUUUACUGUCAGGGCCCAGGUCUGUCAGGGCCCAGGUCUGUCAGGGCUCAGGUCUGUCAGGGCCCAGGUCUGUCAGGGCUCAGGUCUGUCAGGGCCCAGGUCUGUCAGGGCCCAGGUCUGUCAGGGCCCAGGUCUGUCAGGGCUCAGGUCUGUCAGGGCCCAGGUCUGUCAGGGCCCAGGUCUGUCAGGGCCCAGGUCUGUCAGGGCCCAGGUCUGUCAUUGCUCAGGUCUGUCAGGGCCCAGGUCUGUCAGGGCCCAGGUCUGAAUCUGUGCAGAAGCUCCAGAUCAUCAGCAAAGACAUUUGACUUCAGAUUCUAGUAGGGUGAGGCCGGGUGCUGCAGACUAUUCUAGAACACUCGUCAAUUCAUUGAACAAGGUGGGGAUCAAGCUGCAUCCCCCUCCCUCCCUCUUUCUUUCUUUCUUUCUUUCUUUCUCUCCUCAUCUCUCUUUCUCUCCUCACCUCUCUCUUUCUCUCCUCACCUCUCUCUUUCUCUCCUCACCUCUCUCUGUCCCUAUCCCUCUCUCUUUCUCUCCUCACCUCUCUUUCUCUCCCCACCUCUCUCAGUCUCUUUUCACCUCUAUUUCUAUCCUCACCUCUCUUUCUCUCAUCACCUCUCUGUCUCUCCUCACCUUUCUUUCUCUCCUCACCUUUCUUUCUUUCCUCACCUUUCUUUCUCUCCUCACCUCUCUUUCUCUCAUCACCUCUCUGUCUCUCCUCACCUUUCUUUCUCUCCUCACCUUUCUUUCUCUCCUCAACUUUCUUUCUCUACUCACCUCUCUCUUUCUCUCCUCACCUCUCUUUCUCUCAUCACCUAUCUUUCUCUCCUCACCUCUCUCUUUCUCUCCCCACCUCUCUCUUUCUCUCCUCACCUCUCUUUCUCUCAUCACC